CUGCUGAUAACAACCGUUCAAACACCAUGUUGACUUUCUUCACCCAGGCUGUUGAGGAAUUUGGAUGUCCUCUCAGAAUUUGUGCAGAUCAAGGGGGAGAAAAUGUUGGAGUGGCACGCCUGAUGCUUACUGUACGUGGCCCAGACAGUGGCAGCUUUAUAGCAGGCAAAAGUGCACAACCAGGGAAUAGAGAGGUUGUGGCGUGAUCUUUGGAUGGGGGUAACCAGUGUGGUCUUCUACCACAUCUUGCAUACUCAGAGAAGUGUUCAGAGAAGGAUGGGACAACCAUGCUUUGAGGACUGAGCAAAACCUCACUCCAAACCAACUGUGGGAAGUUGGGCAGCUGCAAAAUCCCAUUGCUAAUCCAGAGGUAUUGAACAUUCCUCACAUAGACUGGGAGGACAGUGGAUAUGUUAACAAUUCAGAUUUUGGAGUAAAUCUACCACAGCUGGAUUGUCCACUUACUCUUCAACAACCAGAGCAACUCAGAGAAUACAUUGAUCCACUGCAACCCUCAGAGUCGAACGGCAUGGACCUUUUCCUGAACACAGUACAGUAUGUGGAAAGUUAGCUUGAGGCCCAUUAGAUAAUUUGCCUUGUGUUUAGGCUUAUGCACACUCUAAAAAACAGGGGUACGAUACAAGUACUUUUUUGUACUCAAAGGUACACUCUUUAUAAUUGUACCCUCAAAGGUACAAUAUUGGUCUUUACAGGGUCAGAUUUGUUCCCUCUGAAGUACAAAGUAAUUUCUAACAGCAAUAAGUACAAAUUUGUACCAUUUAACCAGCCAAAGGGUACAUUUAGUAUUCUGUAUCACUGUACCAAUAAACAAUAUAUAUUUUAAUUGCACAUUUUUUAUUUGAAAGCCAGACAAUUUUCGAUCAUCAAGUUUUUGAGCCAUAUUUACUUGAUGAUAAUUCAAACAUUUUUAUAAUCUUUACUGGCAUAAAAACCAUGGGUACAAAAAAGGACUUUCACUGAAAGGUACUUUUUUGUACCUCAAUAUAAGGUACAGCCCCAGCGACAAGCUUUGUACCCUUUUAAGUACAAAUCUGUACUUCCUUUUUUUAGUGUGCAAAUAUACACCCCAAGCCAAGCUUAUUUCAAUUUCUCUUUUUCCCACCAAUUUGGUAAGCUCAGUGAUUAAUUGCCUUAAAUCAUUAAGGAAACGUCUUAUCCAGAAAAGCACUAUGAUAAUUCUUGUGAUAGUGUAAUAAUAAACUAAGCAACCUUAAGUCAAUUUCUUUACUAAUUUAACUGUGAAUGUUUCAAUUGGCUUUAACAUAAUAAAGAUAUAAGCUAUUUUUAAAGAUGCACUGGCCUGCAUGAAAAACAGGUAAUAGUUGAUUUAGCCUGGGUUGCUAUCAGAGUUGUCCUUCCAAAACUUUCUUCCUCAACAACAAGGACAUGAAGUUAACUCUACAGGCAUCAGGUAGAUGACAACAAAUGAAUGGUUUAUGAGAAUUAACAGAUCUUAACCACAAGAAAAGGAACAGCAAAAAUGCGGUACUCUAAUUAAACACUGAAUUGCACAAUAUUCAAAACUGUUGGUACACACUUAAGAAAAAACGCAUAAAGUGUGGAUCUGUUCACACUAGACCAAAGCCACUCUCCACGGAUUUCAGACAUGCCAGCAUGUCUUUCUUUAGAGCUGAGUAAGUGAAGUAGUGGUUUGGUAGGCACAGCCGCUCAUAACAGGUGGAUGAGCGAGGUAAGUGAUUCAGUCCUGUAGACUGCACUACUUCCAGUUUGAGCCUGUGGCAUGGCAUUUCCCAACCCGUCCAGAACCUCAUAAGCUGCUGUAAAUCUUCUGAGGAUGCUACAGAAAAAAAAAAAAAGUCACAUUAGUGUAUUUGGAAUUUUUCACUUCAGAAUACUUGAAUGUUUUCCCUAAAUACCUUCUUCAACAAAGGUUCGGAAAAACCCUGAAUAAGAGUCAGCGUCUCUGUCCCCGUAUCAUCAUCGCUGUCUUCACUGUUAUGAUUUUGUUUUGCCUGAGGUCACUGAAUUAAAUGUUGUACCAUCUAGGGGAAAGUACAAGAUGUCUACAUAUUCAAUACCAACAACUAGGUUACUAGGACUUACAAACCACUGAAAAACACAGAUAGCCCAGCUGGCUUAUUUUAGUCUUUUAUCUGUUGACUGACCUGAGAGGUUAGUUCAACAUCUGACUCUCUGGGAAACAAAAGGGGCACCACAUCAGGCCUACAGGUAAUGAGAUGCCAAAUGCCAGUCUCCUUCAAUUCCUUCCUUAGCUGCUUAAUUUGUGCCUUAACUUGACCAAGGACCUGUGCAGAAAAAAAACAAUUACUUUGGGUUAUUUGGUUUUGCAUUUCCAAACAUCUCUGUCAGAAGUACACUAAAAUAAUAUAAUGAUAUCUUAAAUGUAUUUUACUGUUGGGUUGUUUGUACCAAAUCAUUUUUAAUGUCAUUCCAUAUUACUGCUUUUAAUUUGAAAAUAAAUGCUCCUCUUGUUUGCAUGUA